UGGGCUCAGUGUGAGGCUGAUGACACUGACAAUUGUGUCUAGUUCUGGGAUCAAAAGUGCGCAAAAACACACAAAAAAGUCACGGUACUAACAUCCCUUUAUUAUUGAAGUGACACAUACAAGUUCACAUUUUAGUGGAUGGUUAGUUUAUUCAAUCUCAUCCCGAAUUUACUUCAUGAUUUAAAUGUCUGCAACAAAUAUAAUCGUCGACCACCAUGAGUCCUUGACCCCAGUUCGAGACCCACCGACGUAAGG